GGGCGUUUAGCUCAGCUGGGAGAGCACCUGCCUUACAAGCAGGGGGUCGGCGGUUCGAGCCCGUCAACGCCCACCA
rnacentral:tRNA from 1 species